rnacentral:rRNA from 1 species
CUUGACAUACUAAGAACUUUCCAGAGAUGGAUUGGUGCCUUCGGGAACUUAGAUACAGGUGCUGCAUGGCUGUCGUCAGCUCGUGUCGUGAGAUGUUGGGUUAAGUCCCGCAACGAGCGCAACCCUUUUCCUUAUUUGCCAGCGGGUCAUGCCGGGAACUUUAAGGAUACUGCCAGUGACAAACUGGAGGAAGGCGGGGACGACGUCAAGUCAUCAUGGCCCUUACGGCCAGGGCUACACACGUGCUACAAUGGUCGGUACAAAGGGUUGCUACCUCGCGAGAGGAUGCUAAUCUCAAAAAGCCGAUCGUAGUCCGGAUCGCAGUCUGCAACUCGACUGCGUGAAGUCGGAAUCGCUAGUAAUCGCGGAUCAGAAUGCCGCGGUCGAAUACGUUCCCGGGCCUUGUACACACCGCCCGUCACACCAUGGGAGUUUGUUGCACCAGAAGUAGGUAGUCUAACCGCAAGGAGGACGCUUACCACGGUGUGGCCGAUGACUGGGGUGAAGUCGUAACAAGGUAAGCGUAGAUGA